AUGAGGAUGACAAGCUGCCGGCGGAGCGUGGCCGUCGCUGCCGCCUUGGUGCUGCUGGCGUUCGGGUGCGGCAUGGUGGAGAGCCGCCGCCUGGCCAGGAUGGGCCUCGACAUUCACCUGGGCGCCGGCCUUGGAGUGGGAGGACGGGUGCCAGCGUCCGGGUCAGGAUCUGGUUCCGGCUCCGUGGCUGGAGCGGGCUCGACCGCUGCGUCUAGAUCAGGCUCAGCUUCUGUUCGAGGGGCCAGCUCGUCCGCUCGGUACAGUGUUGGAAGCUCGGGCCGCACUUGUAUAUAUAGAAAGGAUGCCAUGGCUUACAAGACGAGAUCGAGAGAUCGUUACUGA
rnacentral:rRNA from 1 species